UUCAUAUUAUCUUUUGUCUUUGAUGAAUUAGGGGUGUAAAGAAAAGAAUGUAAAGCUUUAUUUUGAGUAAAUGUGACGUAAAAAGAAAUGAUGAAAAGACUAUGUAAAGAAUUGUGAAUGAAAAUGUUGGUUGCAAUGUAUGUGAUCCAAAAUGAAUCAUAGUACUUGUGUAGUUGUUUAGUUUCCUAUCUUUCACUCAUGGCUAUUGCUUACCUUCGUGUAAGCCGUAUUUGUAUGUUUCCGCUAGUGCUUUUUUUUACUUGAAAAUGUACAGGUGAUGAGCCUUGAGCGGACAAGGAAAACUCUGUCCGUUCGGCGUCUGUUCGACGUGCCCGGACCGGCCCAAAUUGGUNAUCAUAGUACUUGUGUAGUUGUUUAGUUUCCUAUCUUUCACUCAUGGCUAUUGCUUACCUUCGUGUAAGCCGUAUUUGUAUGUUUCCGCUAGUGCAUUUUUUUACUUGAAAAUGUACAGGUGAUGAGCCUUAGGCGGACAAGGGAAACUCUGUCUGUUCGGCGUCUGUUCGACGUGCCCGGACCGGCCCAAAUUGGUAUCGGUCGCGGGGCGUGACACAUAUAGUGGUAUCAGAGCUAAAGUGAAAGAUAGGAAUGGACCUAGAGACCCUUAGGAUUGGGAAAGGACUUACGGAUUUAGGAAACGUGAGUAACGCGAGAUCAAAGUUAGCGAAAGCAUGUGAUUUGGUCAAGUUGGGAUGUCUCUAAUGUGAUUAGAGGCUAAGUUUAAAUUAAUCGUUUGUUCUCUACUCUGUGUGUUGUGUUGGGCGGCGGACGACAUAACGCUUGGGAUGAGGAUGAAUGUAUGUUUGCUUUCGCCGGAUUGGGUAUGGUUGAGUAAUGUUGGACAAGUAGCUAACAAGUAUUGCUUCAUUUCAGGAAGCAAUGGUUCACGGUGGACCUCGAACAAGGUCAAUUCCCGAGGAACCGAAUGCGAAGCUCGAGCGAUCUGGAGCGGUGGCGACGGAGAGCUUAUGGAGCAAAAGGCCGCGCUUAUCAAAGUGGUGCGGCAACAAGCGCAGUCUGUUCAAUGCCAAGGGGAGCAGAUUCAACGGCUCCAGGAGGCCUUGGAGUGUCAGCAGGCGGCGGCGGCCCAGGCGGGUGCCGAGCAUGUCGCACCCCCUGUGGUAGUGCCGAGCGUAGACGAGGGAGCGGCGGCAGCAGCAGCUGUGCCCGUCACGAUGGUGCCGGCCGGAUCGGGAACUUCGAAUCCCGGCGGUGCGGCAGUUGAGGCGGAGCGAGAGCGUUCGUUAGCGGCUCUCAUUCAGUUCAAGAAGUUCGAUCCACCUAUCUUUGAAGGUGGUAUGGUAGAGCCCGCGGUAGUGGAGUUGUGGAUCGACUCGAUGGAGACGCUCUUCGAGGAUCUAAAUACCUCGGAGAAGGACAAAGUGUACCUCGCCACCCAUUGUCUCGAGAAGGCGGCGAAAGUGUGGUGGAAACGAGUCAAGCGGGAUCGUUCUACCGAUCUUCCGCUUAUGCUGUGGGAGGAGUUCAAGCGAGCGGUAUUCGCGAACUACUUCCCCGACACGGUGAAGCGGAGGCUACAAGAGAAGUUCCGCAAGUUGAGACAGGGCGAUCGAUUGGUGGGAGAAUAUGAGCAAGAAUUCUCUCACAUCAUUGACUGCGUUCCCGAUGUUGUUCGUGAUGAUCGGGAUCGGGCUGACUGGUUCUUGCGAGGACUCCAGCCAAGGAUUUAUGAAAAAGUGCAGAUCUUGAAGCUUACAACCUUUGCGGAGGUCUUUGAUCAAGCCUUGUGGGCCGAGCACGGUAGCGCCCAUGUACGAGAGGAAUGGGAGGCUAUGGCCGAAAGCAAGGAUAAAGGUAAGAAGCGAACUGCGGGCAGUGCCGGAGGCCGGCCAAAUGCAAAGAAACCCCCUCGGUAUCCCCGACAACAGGCGAGGAGCUGGAGACUGCUCCGGUGCGUCAUUUGUGGUGAAGAGCACCGAGUGUCGACUUGCCCGCAGCGAGACGACAAAUGUUUCAAGUGUGGCCAACCGGGACAUCUUAUCCGGGAGUGCCCAAGCUGGACGUCGUCUGCGCCGUCAGCGGCAUCAGCACCGACGAUCCCGAGACAGCUUAUGGGGUUGCCAUCAGCAAUGUCGGCGGGACGCUCAUCAGCACCGCGUCAGCCGGAAGGAUCGAGAGCACCUAGCGGACGGGUUUUUGCCGCUCAGGUGGAGGAGCAGCCUGCAGCAACCGACGACAUUGUGGCACGUAUAAUUAUGAUUGAUGGCACUAGAGUUAGAACGCUGUUCGAUACUGGUGCAUCACGUUCAUUUGUAGGCUCGUCAUUUGCAAAGACGCAUGGCAUAGAAAUGACAAAUAAUGAGGACUAUUGGUGGAUAAUGGUCCCGAGCACUCGUUUCGCGUUUAUGAUGAGUGCUUGGAGGUUUCGGUGCAGAUUGGCGACUGGAUCAUGCCGAUAGAUCUGCUAGUUCUAGACCGGAUGUGGGGAUUCGACGUUAUCUUGGGGACCAAUUGACUCUCCAAGUACUAUGCGGUCAUAGAUUGCAAAAGAAAGGUAAUCACUUUUUGUGAACCGAAUCAGGAAGAGUUCGUGUAUCAGGCGUGCAAAGGCGCGCGUUUUGCGGCGACCAUAUCGACGGUGAGGGCUAAGAAAAUGAUAAAGGGUGGCUGUAAGGCCUACUUGGCAACUAUGGUGGAUGACCGUAGGAAGCACCCCGAACUUGAGGGUAUAAGAGUAGCAUGCGAAUUUCCAGAUGUAUUUCCGGCGGAGUUACCGGGAUUGCCACCAGACCGAGAAGUUGAGUUCGUUAUUGACUUGAUUCCCGGGGCGGCGCCAGUUUCGAAGGCUCCGUAUAGAAUGGCACCGGUGGAGUUAGUGGAGCUAAAAGCACAACUAUAGGACUUGCUCGAUAAAGGCUUCGUAAAGCCAAGCGUGUCACCGUGGGGAGCUCCGGUGCUAUUCGUGAAGAAAAAGGACGGCACACUUCGACUCUGCGUGGAUUAUCGCGAGUUGAACAAAGUAACGAUCAAGAACAGGUACCCGUUGUCAAGGAUUGACGAUUUGUUCGAUCAGUUGCAAGAGUCAAAGGUGUAUUCAAAAAUUGAUCUCCAAUCGGGAUAUCAUCAAUUAAAGAUUAGACCGAAGGAUGUGCACAAAACGGCGUACCGUACGCGGUAUGGCCAUUAUGAAUUCACGGUAAUGCCGUUUGGGCUUACUAAUGCCCCGGCAGCAUUUUUGGACUUGAUGAAUCGGGUUUUCAGACCACUGUUAGAUCGGUGCAUCGUGGUGUUUAUAGACGACGUAUUGGUUUACUCGAAGAGCGAGGAGGAGCAUGAGGAGCAUUUGAGAGCUGUGCUGCAAAUACUCAAACAAGAGAAGCUCUAUGCGAAGUUGAAGAAGUGUGACUUUUGGUUGACGGAGGUCACAUUCUUGAGUCACGUGGUAUCGGCCGUCGGAGUUUCAGUAGAUCCGAAGAAGGUUGAGGCAAUAAAGGAUUGGCCUCGCCCGACAAAUAUAGCGGAGGUCCGUAGUUUUCUCGGAUGUGCGGGCUACUAUCGGCGGUUCAUGGUUAACUACACUAACGCGCCUCACCCACAAAGAAGUAAAGUAUGUAUGGAGCGACGAUUGCGAUCGGAGCUUUGAGGAGUUAAAGAACAGGUUGACGUCGACCCCGGUGCUUGCCUUGCCAACUCCGGGGGAGACCUUUGUAGUAUACAGUGAUGCCUCGUAUGUUGGUCUCGGGUGUGUACUAAUGCAAAAUGGCUGAGUCAUUGCGUAUGCUUCGCGCCAAUUGAAGAGUUAUGAGAAGAACUACCCGAUUCACGACCUCGAGUCAGCCGCGGUAAUCUUCGCGCUAAAGCUUUGGAGGCAUUACUUAUAUGGUGAACAUUGUGAGAUCUACACCGAUCACAAGAGUCUUAAGUACUUGUUCACCCAGAAAGAGUUGAACAUGCGACAGCGGCGGUGGUUAGAGUUAUUAAAGGAUUUCGACGUCACUAUACUAUACCACCCGGGGAAAGCCAAUGUCGUGGCCGAUGCUUUGAGUCGAAAAUCGGCGGAUAAUUUAGCGACGGCAAUUACGCCUCAACCGCUUUUGCACAAGGAGAUGCAACGACUUGGGUUGGAGGUAGUAGCGCCGGGAGUGCCGGCUAUUCUUGCCGCAUUAGUUGUGCAACCGACCCUAUUCGAAAAGAUCAAGAAGUUGUAAGCUUCGGAUCCUUAUCUCCAAAUGGUACAUAGUAAAGUUGAAAGCGGUAGUGCCGAGGAUUUUGGCAUUGGAGCCGAUGGCGCACUUCGAUUUCGAAAUCGUUGGUGCGUGCCUAAAGAUGACAAUGUUCGAAGGGCGAUUAUGCAAGAAGCGCAUCAAUCUCCCUAUAGCAUACACCCGGGCGGCACUAAGAUGUACCAAGAUUUGAAAGUGCAUUAUUGGUGACCGGGCAUGAAGAAAGAUAUUGGAAAAUUCGUGGCGCAAUGUCUCAUAUGCCAACAAGUAAAAGCAAAGCGCCGGUUUCCAGCGGGAAAGCUUCAGAGUCUAUCAAUACCCGUUUGAAAAUGGGAAGAUAUAGCGAUGAAUUUCAUUACCGGUUUGCCUCGAUCACAAGGCGGACACGAUGCAAUAUAGGUGAUAGUGGAUCGAUUGACAAAAUCGGCACACUUCUUGUCGAUACACACUACGUGGUCGGGAGACAAGCUAGCUCAAGUUUAUCUCGACAAGGUUGUGAGACUUCAUGGGGUUCCGGUGUCGAUUGUGUCAGGUCGAGACCCCAGAUUCACAUCCCACUUUUGGAAGAGCUUACAGGAUGCAUUGGGCACACGGCUCGACUUCAGUACAGCAUUUCAUCCUCAAACUGAUGGUCAGUCGGAGCGGACGAUACAAAUCCUUAAGGACUUGCUUCGAGCGUGUGUACUCGAUUAUAAAGGAGGGUGGAAUGAUUUCUUACCGAUGGCGGAGUUCGCAUAUAAUAACAGCUAUCAGGAGAGUAUCGCGAUGGCGCCAUUUGAGGCAUUGUAUGGACGAAAAUGUUGUUCUCCUAUCCAUUGGAGCGACGUGGGCGAGAGAGCGGCUCUCGGCCCGGAUGUAGUACGGGAGGCGAAAGAAAAAGUUCGCCUUGCCCGUCAACGGUUAGCGACGGCGCAAUCAAGACAAAAGAGUUAUGCCGACAAGCGAAGGAAAGACUUAGAGUUCGCGGUUGGAGACCGCGUAUUUUUGAAUAUCGCCGAUGCGAGGAGUCAAACGUUUUGGGGUCCGCGGGAAGCUAAGUCCCCGUUAUGUCGGACCAUUCGAGAUAUUGGAGCGCGUGUGCGGUGGCAUACAAGCUCGCACUACCACCGAGACUCGUGGGAGUUCACAAUGUGUUUCAUGUGUCAAACCUUCGAAAGUAUAUUCGAAACUCGACACAUGUAUUAGAAUAUGAGCCCGUGGAGUUACGUGAGGAUGUCUUAUGAGUACCCGGUGUGCAUCCUCGAUAGAGAAGAAAGAAAGCUGCGGAGUCGCAGAAUUCCAUAUGUAAAGGUUCAAUGGAGCAACCAUGCUGUGCAAGAAGCCACUUGGGAGCUCGAGGAGACCAUGCGGAGAGAGUAUCCGCAUCUAUUUGAGUCGACGAGUUAAGGUAUGUGUAAUUUCGCGGACGAAGUUAUUUUAAGGGGUGGAGAAUGUAAUAUACCGAAACUUCGGUAAAUAAAUAUCGAACUUUAGUCAAAUUGACGAAAGUGCGAGGUUGGUACCCUUCGGAAAGUCCGAAGGUGUUAAAAUGAGUAAAAGUGCGUUUAAAGGGAUCUUCGAGAGCUAAAGAAACAAAAAAAAUCUGCAAACUGCAGCUUGUGCUCUCGGAGACCGAUCCCUGGUGGGAGAGACCGGUCCCCGAACGCGUAAGAAACCCAGCAGAGGAAAAAAUUGGCUAAGUCCCAGAAAACCAGCUCUCGGGAACCGGUCCCUGCGAGGAGAGACCGGUCCCUCUGGGAGAGACCGGUUGCCUCGUGCGAAAGCCCCGCUGAGCUGGGGGAGGGCUCUCUGGAAUCGGUCCCAGAUCGGGGAGACCGGUCCUCGAGCGCAGAAAAUGCCCAGUCCGGGUUGUGUAAUGGAAUAAAAGUUGGGGUCUUAUUUGCAUUUAUGCAAUAAAUGGGUUAUGUUGAGGGGUUAUGAGGGCUCUAUCUCUCAUUCUCUCACCCUCUCGCCCUCUAAACUCUCUCUCUCUCUCUCUAGAAGAUAAGAAGGAGAAGAAAAAAAAGAAAAGAAGGAGAAAGAUGAGGAAGAAGAAAGGAAAAGAAAGGAAAGGAAAGAGAAGGAAGGUGGUGAAGAAGCUAAAGGAGUGAAGCAACUCCCUCAUCUUCUUCCCUAGAUUGAAGAAAGGAAAGCUUACAAGGUAAGCUUCUUCCCCUCUCAUGGUAGAACCUAAACUAGGGUUUGGAUUGAGCUAAGAAUGGUUUUUAUAGAACCUUUAGAGUAUUUGAAGCUUUCUUUUGCUUCCUAAUGAGAUCAAAACCCUAGGUUUCGAUAUAGGUGAAGCUAGGGCACCCAAAUUUGGAGCUUUUGCUUGUGAGGGUUUCAAAGUGAAAUUGACCCUCUAGAAACCUAAUUGGGGACCAAACGAACGCGUUGGUGCACUCGGUUCGUCGAAACGAAAAGUCUUUGCUAAGUUAUGAGCAAAAUGGCCUAAUUUGGCUUCGUUUUGCCGCAGGUAGCGAAUUAGGCGGCUAAAAAUUCCGAGAAAAUCACCGUAGCACCUAAGCAAGCCUACGAGGUGGGUGGUGCUAUCCAAACUCAUUAAAAUUCUUUCUAUGCCUAAUGUGUCAUUCAGUUGAGCAUAUCAAUAUAUAUUGUUGCAUGCAUUGUAGGGUAGAUGUGAUGAUAUUUAUGUGAAUGUUACAUGAUGUGAGUACACGUGCAUUUCGGAAUGAUUGAGAACCUAUAAAACCCUAUACAUGCAUGAGAUGAAAUGAAGAAACCUAGUUGAGAGGAAAGAACAAAGUGACACAAUGAACAUAGAUCGAGUGGCAUUCAAAAAUGUAAAGUGGACACUAGAGUUAGUGUGUGUGACAACAAUGAUUUGCUAGAGUUAGCAACUAAUGUGACGUAAAGAAUAAACGCUAGAGUUAGCAUCAGUGUGGCAUAAAGAAUAAAUAAAGUAUAAAGAAUAACGACAAUGGCUAGAGUUAGCAACUAAGGUGAUGUAAAGAACACUAGAGUUGGUGUAAUGACAUGAUUGAACUAAUUAUCCUGAACUAAUUAUCCUUUGAGUUAAGGAUUUGAUCAUACUUGCUAUAAGUCCGUGCUCGAGGACGGUAGCUCCCCCUCGAGCGAUGCGCUCCGGAGUUUAUCAUCACUGGGUUGGUGCUGUUCCCCAGAGGACGAUCCUAGCGGGAGGAAGCUGAGGGCCCGCGAUUAUGGAUUUGAGUUGGCGAGUUAAUGUGGCGAAGCCUCCGGGUUAGCCAUGAGAUUGAACGAAAGAACAAAGAUCAAAGAACAAAGAAUAAAGAACUUGCAUAUUGCAUGAGUUUUAUGUUGAGCAUCCUUAUUGCUAUAUUGUUCAGGCAUAUUAGUAUCACGUGUAUAGUUUGGUUACUAUAUUUCAGCUUAUCCUUUCUAUUAUGCCUGAGUUAGGUCCUAGUGGAAAAGUCGGUGAGAUUGGGGCCGAACCCAUUGGGAACUUCGUUGUAGUUCUCACCCCAUUAUUUCCACAGAGCCGCGACCGAGCGAGCCGGCGAGCGACCGCGGUAAGGAUAUCGCGCCGUAAACAGAGGCCACCCGAGUCGGGUCAUAUUUUAUAUUUUGCUAGUAGAUUACCUUCAUAUUAUCUUUUGUCUUUGAUGAAUUAGGGGUGUAAAGAAAAGAAUGUAAAGCUUUAUUUUGAGUAAAUGUGACGUAAAAAGAAAUGAUGAAAAGACUAUGUAAAGAAUUGUGAAUGAAAAUGUUGGUUGCAAUGUAUGUGAUCCAAAAUGAAUCAUAGUACUUGUGUAGUUGUUUAGUUUCCUAUCUUUCACUCAUGGCUAUUGCUUACCUUCGUGUAAG
rnacentral:lncRNA from 1 species